rnacentral:misc_RNA from 1 species
CGCACGCAAGCACGCGCACGUGUUUAUUCUAUCGACACAAGCACAUCACACGCAGUAGCGUGCACAAGAGGCGCCUGAGGCCAUCGCGGGCUUUGGCUUCGUACCACUCACAGGUCCGAGCAAGCAAACAAGAAGAAAGGAAAAGCCUUCACGGACGUCUACGUUGGCUGCGGACGUUUCCCUUUUUUUUUCGCUCUGGUUUUUGCCGCACCGCUUCAUAGAUGCCUUCAUAGACAAGACGGCAAAGUGGGUGUUGCACGGUCGGUUGUAUGCUAGCGUACAUUACCCCGUCCUCCUGUGUGGGUGACAGUGUUUUUUUAUUCUUGUCCCUCCAAGAUUCCUUCUGCGCGUGUGUGCGUGUGUGUCUGAGACGGUCAUGCGGGUCAGAGCUACGUCAUCUACUGAGUCUUUGUUUCCGUUUCUUCUACCGCUCGCGUUUCUCUUCGGUUUGUGACCAUGGAGUCCUCGGCGGCUGCGGCGGCGCCAACCACCUGUGUCUACGUUCUAUCCGACGUCGAUGGCUACAAGUACAAGCUCGUCAUGCAGGGCGAUCUCCAGCUUCUCACUGUGCGCAAGGUGAAGCGCUAUCUCCAGCGAGCCGCAGGAAUCGAUCCUGCACAGCAGUUGCUCACCUUCAACAGCGUGGCACUCGACGACACGAUGAGUGGGAAAGAUGCCGGCUUCUUCGACGGAGCCAUUCUGCGGCUGCAGCAGGUAUCGUCGGCCUCCGCAGCACUGGCACAAUGCAUCUCCGUGGACGAAGCAUCGCCCUUCCACCGCGCACACGGUGGACCGGGCUGUUCCAGCUCGUUUACUGCUCUCCCUCGUGGUGAGCAGGACACAGGCACUCGCACCUCCCCUCGAGGUGACGGUUCUUUUUUCGCUGAAACAUCGCCACGGCUGUCCGCGUCGGCGGCGACAGGGGUCGUGGGGGCUCCGCAGCUGAUCAGCAGCCCUCGCGCUUUACCACCGCCGCUGAGGUGUCUAUCACCGAACAAGUUGACAGGUGGUGCCGAGUGCGAGGCCUACGAUGCAGCUUCCUGCAGGAGAAGGGGCGUGGUAGCCGGCGUGGCUUACUCCUCUCCGCCAGAACUCGCAGGCACUACUAGCGUCACGGUCAGCACACCGCAAGUCAUUCCAGGGAGGGCAUCAUCCGCCCCAAACGCAGAUGGCGACGGCUUCCACGUGUACUACCGCGAGCUGGAAGAGAAAGUGGCGGCUCUCUCUCUCGACAACGUACGGCUGCGUGAGCAACUCCAAGUGGUGGCCCGGCAGGCGGCUGAGGCGUGCACGGAUGGGAGGCACGAGGAGGAGGUGAAACGACUGAAGGCGGCCGUUGCAAUGGCGCAAGAGGGCGUCAAGGACGCAGAGAGAGCUGCAGCAGAUCGGUGGCGCGUCAAGGAGGAGGAGCUCGUCAAGGAGCUGGACCUGCUGCGAGAGGAGCGACGCCGGUUUCACGAGGAAUCCACCGCGCAGGAGGCGAAGCUGCAGGAACUGGUUCACUCGAUGGAGGGCGAGAUUCGCGGUCUAAAGUACGAGCUGCACGAUAAGGAUGAAGCACUACAGGCGGCCCGUCUCUCGCUGGCCGAGGCGCAAAGUGAAAAACGUUCACGGACGGACGUGGCGCGUCGCGGCGUCGACAUUUGCCCGCGUGGCGAAGCCAACCACCCUUUCGCGCCAGCUGCAUCUCGCCGUGCGCGAAUUCCGCUGCACCAGCGCCAGCAUGGCGGCAGUUCCAGCAUUGACGAGUUGGCAGAAACGGCCUUGGAGUAUCUGACGCAGGCCUUCGAGUCCGCCACGCCGCUGGUGCUUGAACCUGAGAACGACACCUGCGUCGUCCCCGUAGCCAACGAUUUGAAGGUGCUUGUCACGCUUGAUCGAGAGACAGAGCGACUGUACUUGUACGUGACGCUCCUCAACCACCUGCCUUCGUCUCCUGUCCAACGGAUGCAGCUAUACGAGAUGCUGCUGGAGGGUGCGUUGCUCGGCAAAGACAUGGCCGGGGGCAGUGUCGGGGUGAGCCUCGAGUCGAACCUCGUGUUGAUGAGCGUCUCAGCCAAUCUACGUCACAGCGGCGCAUCUGCGCUGGCAGCCACGGCGGCACCGUUUGUGAACGCGGCUCAGGCCUGGACGAAGAGCAUUGACGUUUUGCUCAACAGCUGAAAGGGUAUUUUGAGCAGCAGUGAAUUAGAAGGAAUCUGUGUCCCAGCAAGGACACAGAAUCAUGGCAUUGUAGCGCGUCAGUGAGGGCUUCGGGCGCGUUUCCCUCUUUUUUCCUUUUCUGUGCCACGGCCUGGUGUCAUUAUUCUGCCUUUGUCAGCACUCACAUCUGCAGCUGUGAGAAAAACGC